GACGAACGCUGGCGGCGUGCUUAACACAUGCAAGUCGAACGGACAGGCCCUGCUUUUGUGGGGUGCUCGAGUGGCGAACGGGUGAGUAACACGUGAGUAACCUGCCCUUGACUUUGGGAUAACUUCAGGAAACUGGGGCUAAUACCGGAUAGGAUCUCCUACUGCAUGGCGGGGGAUGGAAAGUUGGGGCGGUGGGGGAGGGACUCGGGGCUUAUCAGCUUGUUGGUGGGGUAGUUGGUUACCAUGGCUGGGACGGAUAGCCGGCCUGGGAGGGGGACCGGCCACGUCGGGAAUGAGAUGCGGCCCAGGGGCCUCCGGGGGGAAGGAGGGGGGACUAAUGCAGAAUGGGCGGGUGAGUGAAGCAGCCACUCGGGGUGCGAGACGCCGGUCUUCGGGUAGAAACCGCUUCCUCCUGAUACGAAGCGUGCGUGACGGUACUGGGUAAAGAAGCACCGGCUAACUACGUG
rnacentral:rRNA from 1 species